ensembl:snRNA U4 U4 spliceosomal RNA
AGCUUUGCACAGUGGCAGUAUCAUAGCCAAUGAAGUUUAUCCAAGGUGUGAUUAUUGCUAAUUGAAAAAUGGCAACACUCCCCAAACAGAUAUCACUUUAAUGUAAUGUCUGUCAGAAUCCUAUCUGGCUCAUUGCAGACACUGACAAGCUGAUCUUUAAAUUAUGUGAAAAUAU